rnacentral:lncRNA from 1 species
CUUUCUUAUGCCAGUGCCUAUGGCCUGGACUCACUGAAUGCUGAUCACAAUAAGGCUUGUAGUGAAAACAUUUAAACAGGCUGGAUUCAAACUUGAUUUGAAGACUGUAUAAGCUAAGUAGAAAAUUGAGAGGACACUCCGAGAGUUGCUCACUCACCAAAACGUGGCAUCAAGUUGGCAAGGCCGAGUCCUGUUGUGGAAACGUGUAUGAAGAAGUUCUUGCACCAAGCCUCUGGUGUUCUCACAGGAAGGGGCUGGACUACACCCUUUUCUAGCAAGGUAGAAUGACUGAAAGCCUCGAGGGACUGUCUCUCUGUGUUCUGUCCCUCUGCCUGGCAGAUAACAAGAGGGCAAUAAAAACAGCCUCUUCUUAUUCAGAUUUCUUCUGUCCUUGUCCCAGAUCAGCAGGGACUUCACCCAGGGAAGGCUGGAAGACUUUACACCCCAGCCUUGUCCCACAGGGCUGCUUUUCCUCCCAGGGCACAGUCUGCUCUGAAAUAACACUGGUGUUAGGCCCCUGUGAAUGGUAG